rnacentral:rRNA from 1 species
AGCGAACGCUGGCGGCAGGCCUAACACAUGCAAGUCGAACGAAGCCUUCGGGCUUAGUGGCGGACGGGUGAGUAACACGUGGGAACGUACCUUUUGGUUCGGAACAACUCAGGGAAACUUGAGCUAAUACCGGAUGAGCCCUUAGGGGGAAAGAUUUAUCGCCGAAAGAGCGGCCCGCGUUAGAUUAGCUAGUUGGUGAGGUAAAGGCUAACCAAGGCAACGAUCUAUAGCUGGUCUGAGAGGAUGAUCAGCCACACUGGGACUGAGACACGGCCCAGACGCCUACGGGAGGCAGCAGUGGGGAAGCUUGCGCAAUGGGCGAAAGCCUGACGCAGCCAUGCCGCGUGAAUGAUGAAGGUCUUAGGAUUGUAAAAUUCUUUUACCAGGGACGAUAAUGACGGUACCUGGAGAAAAAGCCCCGGCUAACUUCGUGCCAGCCGCCGCAGUAACAC